AGAACUUAGCAGAGAUGCUUUGGUGCCUUCGGGAACUCUGAGACAGGUGCUGCAUGGCUGUCGUCAGCUCGUGUUGUGAAAUGUUGGGUUAAGUCCCGCAACGAGCGCAACCCUUAUCCUUUGUUGCCAGCGGGUUAUGCCGGGAACUCAAAGGAGACUGCCAGUGAUAAACUGGAGGAAGGUGGGGAUGACGUCAAGUCAUCAUGGCCCUUACGAGUAGGGCUACACACGUGCUACAAUGGCGCAUACAAAGAGAAGCGACCUCGCGAGAGCAAGCGGACCUCAUAAAGUGCGUCGUAGUCCGGAUUGGAGUCUGCAACUCGACUCCACGAAGUCGGAAUCGCUAGUAAUCGUAGAUCAGAAUGCUACGGUGAAUACGUUCCCGGGCCUUGUACACACCGCCCGUCACACCAUGGGAGUGGGUUGCAAAAGAAGUAGGUAGCUUAACCUUCGGGAGGGCGCUUACCACUUUGUGAUUCAUGACUGGGGUGAAGUCGUAACAAGGUAGGCGUAGUGCU
rnacentral:rRNA from 1 species